rnacentral:rRNA from 1 species
AUUGAACGCUGGCGGCAUGCUUUACACAUGCAAGUCGAACGGCAGCGCGGGCUUCGGCCUGGUGGCGUGUGGCGCAGGGGAGUGUCAUGCAACGGAACGUGCCCUGACGUCGGGGUUACCCCGGCGAACGCCGGCUUAUUACCGCAUACGACCUGAGGGUGAAAGCGGGGGAUCGAAAGGUUCCGCGCUAUUGGAGCGACCGAUGUCGGAUUAGCUAGUUGGUGGGGUAAUGGCUUACCAAGGCGUCGAUCCGUAGCUGGUCUGAGAGGACGACCAGCCACACAGGGGCUGAGACGCGACCCUGACUCCGACAGGAGGCACAGAUUGCUAAGUGUGGACAAUGUGGGGAACCCUGAUCCAUCCACGCCGCGUUCAUGAAGAAGGGCCUCGGGUGGUAAACCGGUUUUGGUCGUGAAAAAAUCCUCUGGGCUAAGACACCGUUGUGAUGACGGUACCUGAAGAAUAAGCACCGGCUAACUACGUG